CCUACGGGAGGCAGCAGUGAGGAAUAUUGGUCAAUGGGCGGAAGCCUGAAUCAGCCAAGUCGCGUGAGGGAAUAAGGCCCUACGGGUCGUAAACCUCUUUUGCCGGGGAGCAAGGGCCGGGACGCGUCCCGGCCCGGAGAGUACCCGGAGAAAAAGCAUCGGCUAACUCCGUGCCAGCAGCCGCGGUAAUACGGAGGAUGCGAGCGUUAUCCGGAUUUAUUGGGUUUAAAGGGUGCGUAGGCGGGCUUUUAAGUCAGCGGUAAAAAUUCGGGGCUCAACCCCGCCCGGCCGUUGAAACUCGGGGG
rnacentral:rRNA from 1 species